AAACCAGCACCUCAAGUGGUCAGGAGGAUUAUUGGGCCUAAAGCAUCCGUAGCCUGUUCUGUAAGUUUUCGGUUAAAUCCAUUAGCUCAACUAAUGGGCCGCCGAAAAUACUGUAGAACUAGGGAGUGGGAGAGGUAGACGGUAUUCGGUAGGAAGGGGUAAAAUCCUUUGAUCUAUUGAGGACCACCUGUGGCGAAGGCGGUCUACCAGAACACGUCCGACGGUGAGGGAUGAAAGCUGGGGGAGCAAACCGGAUUAGAAACCCCGGUAGUCC
rnacentral:rRNA from 1 species